AUUGAACGCUGGCGGCGUGCCUAAUACAUGCAAGUCGAACGCAGUUGCGAACGUGUGAGUAACGCGUAGGUCACUGCCUGGUAGCGGGGGCUAACUAUUGGAAACGAUAGCUAAUACCGCAUACUACCAGAUGGACCUGCGUUGUAUUAGCUAGUUGGUGGGGUAACGGCUCACCAAGGCAACGAUACAUAGCCGGCCUGGGAGGGUGGUCGGCCACAAUGGGACUGAGACACGGCCCAGACUCCUACGGGAGGCAGCAGUAGGGAAUCUUCGGCAAUGGGGGGAACCCUGACCGAGCAACGCCGCGGGAGUGAAGGAGGUUUUCGGGUCGUAAAGCUCUGUUGUUAAGGAAGCGGUACUUAACCAGAAAGGGACGGCUAACUACGUGCCAGCCGCCGCGGUAAUUC
rnacentral:rRNA from 1 species